GCUUCCGUGGCUCAGUUGGUUAGAGCGCCAGUCUCAUACGAUUAAGUAUGAUCCCGUGCGGUGGGAAUUAUCUGGAGGCCGCCAGUUCGAUCCUGGCCGGGAGCA